AUUGAACGCUGGCGGCAGGCCUAACACAUGCAAGUCGAGCGAGCGGCGGACGGGUGAGUGAUUUCUUGGAAACUGCCUGAUGGAGGGGGUUAACUGCGGGAACCGGUAGCUAAUAUCGCUUACCAUCAGAUGUGCCCAGUUGGGAUUAGCAAUUAGUUGGGGUAACGGCUCACCUAGGCGACGAUCCCUAGCGGGUCUGAGAGGAUGACCAGCAACACUGGAACGGAGACACGGUCCAGACGCCUACGGGAGGAAGCAGUGGGGAAUAUUGGACAAUGGGCGCAAGCCUGAUGCAGACAUGCCGCGGGUGUGAAGAAGGCCUUCGGGUGGUAAAGCACGUUCAGCGGGGAGGCGGUACCCGCAGAAGAAGCACCGGCUAACUCCGUGCCAGCAGCCGCGGUAAUUC
rnacentral:rRNA from 1 species